GAUGAACGCUGGCGGCGUGCCUAAUACAUGCAAGUCGAGCGAACGGACGAGAAGCUUGCUUCUCUGAUGUUAGCGGCGGACGGGUGAGUAACACGUGGAUAACCUACCUAUAAGACUGGGAUAACUUCGGGAAACCGGAGCUAAUACCGGAUGAUAUUUUGAACCGCAUGGUUCAAAAGUGAAAGACGGUCUUGCUGUCACUUAUAGAUGGAUCCGCGCUGCAUUAGCUAGUUGGUAAGGUAACGGCUUACCAGGGCAACGAUGCAUAGCCGACCUGAGAGGGUGAUCGGCCACACUGGAACUGAGACACGGUCCAGACUCCUACGGGAGGCAGCAGUAGGGAAUCUUCCGCAAUGGGCGAAAGCCUGACGGAGCAACGCCGCGUGAGUGAUGAAGGUCUUCUGAUCGUAAAACUCUGUUAUUAGGGAAGAACAUAUGUGUAAGUAACUGUGCACAUCUUGACGGUACCUAAUCAGAAAGCCACGGCUAACUACGUG
rnacentral:rRNA from 1 species